GACGAACGCUGGCGGCGUGCUUAACACAUGCAAGUCGAACGAGUGGCGAACGGGUGAGUAAUACGUGGGGAACCCUCCCUCUUUUUGGGAUAAGCCUUGGAAACGGGGUCUAAUAACCAAUAACGGGGGAUGGGCUCGCGGCCUAUCAGCUUGGUGGUGGGGUGAUGGCCUACCAAGGCGGUGACGCGUAGCCGGCCCGGGAGGGUGACCGGCCACAUCUGGGCUGGGACCAGGGCCAGACUCCUACGGGAGGGCGCAGUUGGGAAUCAUCGGAAAUGGGGGAAAGGCUGACGGAGCAACGCCGGCGGGUAGAUAGCGGCCCUCGGGGUGUAAAGCUCUUUUAAGCGGGGCGGUACCGGAAUAAGAAGCCACGGCUAACUACGUGCCAGCAGCCGCGGUAAUAC
rnacentral:rRNA from 1 species